GAAACAGGUUAAUAUUCCUGUACUUGGUAAAGCUGCGAUGUGGGGACGGAGUAGGUUAGGUUAGCGUGCUGUUGGAUAUGCACGUUUAAGUUGGUAGGUGGGAAGUUUAGGCAAAUCCGGACUUCCUUAACACUGAGAGAUGAUGACGAGGCCCUACGGAGCUGAAGUAACUGAUACCACACUUCCAGGAAAAGCCACUAAGCGACAGGCUUUACUAAACCGUACUGAAAACCGACACAGGUGGUCAGGUAGAGAAUACUCAGGCGCUUGAGAGAACUCGGGUGAAGGAACUAGGCAAAAUAGCACCGUAACUUCGGGAGAAGGUGCGCCGGCGUAGAUUGUAGUCCCUUGCGGAUGAAGGUUGAACCGGUCGAAGUGACCCGCUGGCUGCAACUGUUUAUUAAAAACACAGCACUCUGCAAACACGAAAGUGGACGUAUAGGGUGUGAUGCCUGCCCGGUGCUGGAAGGUUAAUUGAUGGUGUAAUCGCAAGAGAAGCACCUGAUCGAAGCCCCAGUAAACGGCGGCCGUAACUAUAACGGUCCUAAGGUAGCGAAAUUCCUUGUCGGGUAAGUUCCGACCUGCACGAAUGGCAUAAUGAUGGCCAGGCUGUCUCCACCCGAGACUCAGUGAAAUUGAAAUCGCCGUGAAGAUGCGGUGUACCCGCGGCUAGACGGAAAGACCCCGUGAACCUUUACUAUAGCUUGACACUGAACAUUGAAUUUUGAUGUGUAGGAUAGGUGGGAGACUUAGAAGUAGUCACGCCAGUGAUUAUGGAGUCGACCUUGAAAUACCACCCUUUAACGUUUGAUGUUCUAACGAAGAUGACGAAACGUGGUCUCGGACAGUGUCUGGUGGGUAGUUUGACUGGGGCGGUCUCCUCCCAAAGCGUAACGGAGGAGCACGAAGGUUUGCUAAUCACGGUCGGACAUCGUGAGGUUAGUGCAAUGGUAUAAGCAAGCUUAACUGCGAGACAGACAAGUCGAGCAGGUACGAAAGUAGGUCAUAGUGAUCCGGUGGUUCUGAAUGGAAGGGCCAUCGCUCAACGGAUAAAAGGUACUCCGGGGAUAACAGGCUGAUACCGCCCAAGAGUUCAUAUCGACGGCGGUGUUUGGCACCUCGAUGUCGGCUCAUCACAUCCUGGGGCUGAAGUAGGUCCCAAGGGUAUGGCUGUUCGCCAUUUAAAGUGGUACGCGAGCUGGGUUUAGAACGUCGUGAGACAGUUCGGUCCCUAUCUGCCGUGGGCGUAGGAGAAUUGGUUGGGGCUGCUCCUAGUACGAGAGGACCGGAGUGGACGCACCACUGGUGUUCCGGUUGUGUCGCCAGACGCAUUGCCGGGUAGCUAAGUGCGGAAGAGAUAAGUGCUGAAAGCAUCUAAGCACGAAACUUGCCAAGAGAUGAGUUCUCCCAAUCUAAGAGAUAGUAAGGGUUGUUGUAGACUACGACGUAGAUAGGUCUGGUGUGUAAGUGUAGUGAUACAUUGAGCUAACAGAUACUAAUUGCCCGAGAGGCUUAACU
rnacentral:rRNA from 1 species